rnacentral:tRNA from 1 species
UGGGGGCUCGUCUAGCCGGCAGGACAGCGGACUCUGGAUCCGUAUGGGGGGGUUCGAAUCCCUCGCCCCCAG